GCCGAAGGCGAAUGUGGCUCAUGCCGUCGGUCGUACCCAUGACCGCAGCAGGUCUCCGAGGUGAGAAGCCUCUGGCCGAUAGAACAAUGUCAGUAAGGGAAGUUGGCAAGAUGGAUCCGUGAUUCGGUACAAGGAUUGGCUCUGAGCGUCGCCCGCGCACGGAAGCGUCCUCUCGUCAAUUCGGUGGCCGUGGGACGAACGACGUACACAGAACCGGCAGUGACUAGGGGAAUCUGACUGUUUAAUUAAAACAAAGCAUCUCGACAGCUCCGCGCAAGAGAAAAGGGGUGUCGACGGAAUGUGAUUUCUGCCCAGUGCUCUGAAUGUCAAGGUGAAGAAAUUCGAAGAAGCGCGGGUCAACGGCGGGAGUAA